AUGAGUUAAGUAUAAACCCCUUUACAAGUAUCAAUUGGAGGGCAAGUCUGGUGCCAGCAGCCGCGGUAAUUCCAGCUCCAAUAGCGUAUAUUAAAGUUGUUGCAGUUAAAAAGCUCGUAGUUGGAUUUCUGUUAAUAAUUUAUAUAUAAUAUUUUAACAUAUUUAUAUAAUAUUAACAUAAUUCAUAUUACUAUAUUUAUGUGUAGUAUAUGAAAUUUUACUUUGAGAAAAUUCGAGUGCUUAAAGCAGGCUUUUAUGCCUUGAAUACUAGAGCGUGGAAUAAUAUUAAAGAUUUUUAUCUUUCUCUAUUGGUUCUAAGAUAGAAAUAAUGAUUAAUAGGGACAGUUGGGGGCAUUUGUAUUUAACAGUUAGAGGUGAAAUUCUUAGAUUUGUUAAAGACAAACUAAUGCGAAAGCAUUUGCCAAGGAUGUUUUCAUUAAUCAAGAACGAAAGUUAGGGGAUCGAAGACGAUCAGAUACCGUCGUAGU
rnacentral:rRNA from 1 species